rnacentral:rRNA from 1 species
AGCGAACGCUGGCGGCAGGCCUAACACAUGCAAGUCGAGCGCCCAGCAAUGGGAGCGGCAGACGGGUGAGUAGCGCGUGGGGAUCUACCCAUUGGUACGGAAUAACCCGGGGAAACUUGGACUAAUACCGUAUGUGCCCCUCGGGGGAAAGAUUUAUCGCCAAUGGAUGAACCCGCGUCGGAUUAGCUAGUUGGUGAGGUAAAGGCUCACCAAGGCGACGAUCCGUAGCUGGUCUGAGAGGAUGAUCAGCCACACUGGGACUGAGACACGGCCCAGACUCCUACGGGAGGCAGCGGUGGGGAAUAUUGGACAAUGGACGCAAGCCUGCUCCAGCCAUGCCGCGUGAGUGAUGAAGGCCUUAGGGUUGUAAAGCUCUUUCGCCGGUGAAGAUAAUGACGGUAACCGGAGAAGAAGCCCCGGCUAACUUCGUGCCAGCAGCCGCCGUAACAC